rnacentral:rRNA from 1 species
AUUGAACGCUGGCGGCAUGCCUUACACAUGCAAGUCGAACGGUAACGGGUCCUUCGGGAUGCCGACGAGUGGAGAACGGGUGAGUAAUAUAUCGGAACGUGCCCAGUAGUGGGGGAUAACUGCUCGAAAGAGCAGCUAAUACCGCAUACGACCUGAAGGUGAAAGGGGGGGAUCGCAAGACCUCUCGCUAUUGGAGCGGCCGAUAUCGGGUUAGCUAGUUGGUGGGGUAAAGGCCUACCAAGGCAACGAUCUGUAGUUGGUCUGAGAGGACGACCAGCCACACUGGGACUGAGACACGGCCCAGACUCCUACGGGAGGCAGCGGUGGGGAAUUUUGGACAAUGGGCGAAAGCCUGAUCCAGCAAUGCAGCGUGCAGGAAGAAGGCCUUCGGGUUGUAAACUGCUUUUGUCAGGGAAGAAAUCUUCUGGGUUAAUACCCCGGGAGGAUGACGGUACCUGAAGAAUAAGCACCGGCUAACUACGUGCCAGCAGCCGCCGUAAAAC